rnacentral:rRNA from 1 species
GACGAACCGUGCGAACGUUAUUCGGAAUCACUGGGCUUAAAGCGCGUGUAGGCGGGACGGCACGUCGGUCGCUGAAAUCCCCCGGCUUAACCGGGGAACUGGCGUCGAUACGACCGCCCUGGAGGGGCGUAGGGGGACCUGGAACUUCCGGUGUAGCGGUGAAAUGCGUAGAUAUCGGAAGGAACAUCAGUGGCGAAAGCGGCUUCCUGGACCAGAACUGACGAUCAGGCUCGAAAGCGUGGGGAGCAAACAGG